GGCUAAUCCAUCAACCACCCCAUUUGCCGGAUGGUUCGGGCGCUAGCCAUCGACCAGACUCUCCUACUAGUCGGUGUGACCCUGACUCUGUGCCGGGUCUGAGGAUGCCCUCCGUCGUCACCCCUUAUAACCUGUUACCCGCUUUCGGACUAGGUCGUUACGGCGCACUCACUACUUCCGGAAUCCCAACAUUUCGAGAAAGCGUGCGCUGCUACUACUGCCAUCGCACUCUUCUUCGGGGCCGAUUGAAGCACGGUCGUCGGCGCCAUUAUGCUUCCCCCGAUCGCAACAAGCCUUAAUGACCCGCAUUUCCCGCGCAUCCGCCGGAACAGUCAGUCCGCACUUUCGGGCCCCGAGUUGGGGCCUUAACGCGAACUAUGACGUUCCGAACUCAUGCCCUCUCCUAUCACCUUAAGGGUCACAUCUCCACUUUAAGCAUCUAUAACCCUUCUUGUGGCCACCGCUUCCGCCGAUAGACCUGGCAAUGACUGCGACUCCGCGCUUUCGCACCCCUCGUUUGUCCUAAUCUAUGGGACCAUCAGGUGCGGCAUUUGCUGCUCACGAUCUGCAACCCCGAGAAUCUCGAAGCCACAGCGUCGAUUGCGUAAUUCGUGAGGCG
rnacentral:rRNA from 1 species